GACGAACGCUGGCGGCGUGCUUAACACAUGCCAGUCGAACGGAAAGGCCCUGCUUUUGUGGGGUGCUCGAGUGGCGAACGGGUGAGUAACACGUGAGUAACCUGCCUUGACUUUGGGAUAACUUCAGGAAACUGGGGCUAAUACCGGAUAGGAGCUCCUGCUGCAUGGUGGGGGUUGGAAAGUUUCGGCGGUUGGGGAUGGACUCGCGGCUUAUCAGCUUGUUGGUGGGGUAGUGGCUUACCAAGGCUUUGACGGGUAGCCGGCCUGAGAGGGUGACCGGCCACAUUGGGACUGAGAUACGGCCCAGACUCCUACGGGAGGCAGCAGUGGGGAAUAUUGCACAAUGGGCGGAAGCCUGAUGCAGCAACGCCGCGUGCGGGAUGACGGCCUUCGGGUUGUAAACCGCUUUCGCCUGUGACGAAGCGUGAGUGACGGUAAUGGGUAAAGAAGCACCGGCUAACUACGUG
rnacentral:rRNA from 1 species